GCCUGGAUAGCUUAGUCGGUAGAGCUUCAGACUUUUAAUCUAGGGGUCCAGGGUUCAAGUUCCUGUUCAGGUA